AACCAGCACCUCAAGUGGUCAGGAUGAUUAUUGGGCCUAAAGCAUCCGUAGCCGGCUCUGUAAGUUUUCGGUUAAAUCUAUACGCUCAACGUAUGGGCUGCCGAAAAUACUGUAGAGAUAGGGAGUGGGAGAGGUAGACGGUACUCGGUAGGAAGGGGUAAAAUCCUGUCAUCCUGAGAGGACCACCUGUUGCGAAGGCGCCACACUAGAACGGAUCCGACGGUCAGGGACGAAGCCUAGGGGCACGAACCGG
rnacentral:rRNA from 1 species